rnacentral:rRNA from 1 species
AGACGUAGGGGGCGAGCGUUGUCCGGAAUUACUGGGCGUAAAGAGCACGUAGGCGGAUAUUUAAGUCAGGUGUGAAAGACCGCAGCUCAACUGCGGGGUUGCACCUGAAACUGGGUAUCUUGAGGGCAGGAGAGGGAAGUGGAAUUCCUGGUGUAGCGGUGAAAUGCGUAGAAAUCAGGAGGAACACCAGUGGCGAAGGCGGCUACCUGGACCGAUACUGACGCUGAGACGCGAAAGCGUGAGGAGC